rnacentral:rRNA from 1 species
GACGAACGCUGGCGGCGUGCUUAACACAUGCAAGUCGAACGGAAAGGCCCUGCUUUUGUGGGGUGCUCGAGUGGCGAACGGGUGAGUAACACGUGAGUAACCUGCCCUUGACUUUGGGAUAACUUCAGGAAACUGGGGCUAAUACCGGAUAGGAGCUCCUGCUGCAUGGUGGGGGUUGGAAAGUUUCGGCGGUUGGGGAUGGACUCGCGGCUUAUCAGCUUGUUGGUGGGGUAGUGGCUUACCAAGGCUUUGACGGGUAGCCGGCCUGGGAGGGUGACCGGCCACAUUGGGACUGAGAUACGGCCCAGACUCCUACGGGAGGCAGCAGUGGGGAAUAUUGCACAAUGGGCGGAAGCCUGAUGCAGCAACGCCGCGUGCGGGAUGACGGCCUUCAGGUUGUAAACCGCUUUCGCCUGUGACGAAGCGUGAGUGACGGUAAUGGGUAAAGAAGCACCGGCUAACUACGUG